UACGAAGGGGGCUAGCGUUGCUCGGAAUCACUGGGCGUAAAGGGCGCGUAGGCGGAUCUUUAAGUCGGGGGUGAAAGCCCAGGGCUCAACCCUGGAAUUGCCUUCGAUACUGAAGAUCUCGAGACCGGAAGAGGUAAGUGGAACUGCGAGUGUAGAGGUGAAAUUCGUAGAUAUUCGCAAGAACACCAGUGGCGAAGGCGGCUCACUGGCCCGGUACUGACGCUGAGGCACGAAAGCGUGGGGAGCAAACAGG
rnacentral:rRNA from 1 species